GCCGGGCGUUGUGGCGGGCGCCUGUGGUCCCAGCUACUUGGGAGGCUGAGGCAGGAGACUUGCUUGAGCCCAGGAGUUGGAGGUUGCUGUGAGCUGUGAUGCCACGGCACUCUGCCCAGGGGGACAGCUUGAGGCUCUGUCUCAAAAAAAAUAAAUAAAUAAAAAAUAAAAAUAAAAAGUUAGUUUGUUUGGUUUUUUUUUUUUUUUUUUUUGAGAUGGAGCCUCAAGCUAUCCACCUGGGUAGAGUGCCAUGGCAUCACGCUCACAGCAACCUCCAACUCCUGGGCUCAAGCGAGUCUCCUGCCUCAG
rfam:Otolemur garnettii contig015503, whole genome shotgun sequence.